GAUGAACGCUGGCGGCGUGCCUAAUACAUGCAAGUCGAGCGAACAGACGAGGAGCUUGCUCCUCUGACGUUAGCGGCGGACGGGUGAGUAACACGUGGAUAACCUACCUAUAAGACUGGGAUAACUUCGGGAAACCGGAGCUAAUACCGGAUAAUAUAUUGAACCGCAUGGUUCAAUAGUGAAAGACGGUUUUGCUGUCACUUAUAGAUGGAUCCGCGCCGCAUUAGCUAGUUGGUAAGGUAACGGCUUACCAAGGCGACGAUGCGUAGCCGACCUGAGAGGGUGAUCGGCCACACUGGAACUGAGACACGGUCCAGACUCCUACGGGAGGCAGCAGUAGGGAAUCUGCCGCAAUGGGCGAAAGCCUGACGGAGCAACGCCGCGUGAGUGAUGAAGGUCUUCGGAUCGUAAAACUCUGUUAUUAGGUAAGAACAAAUGUGUAAGUAACUAUGCACGUCUUGACGGUACCUAAUCAGAAAGCCACGGCUAACUACGUG
rnacentral:rRNA from 1 species